GACGAACGCUGGCGGCGUGCUUAACACAUGCAAGUCGAACGGAAAGGCCCUGCUUUUGUUGGGUGCUCGAGUGGCGAACGUGUGUGUAACACGUGAGUAUCCUGCCCUUGACUUUGUGAUAACUUCAGGAAACUGGGGCUAAUACCUGAUAGGAGCUCCUGCUGCAUGGUGGGGGUUGGAAAGUUUCGGCGGUUGGGGAUGGACUCGCGGCUUAUCAGCUUGUUGGUGGGGUAGUGGCUUACCAAGGCUUUGACGGGUAGCCGGCCUGAGAGGGUGACCGGGCACAAUGGGACUGAGAUACGGCGCAGACUGCUACGGGAGGCAGAAGUGGGGAAUAUUGCACAAUGGGCGGAAGCGUGAGGCAGAGACGCCGCGGGCGGGAUGACGGCCUUGGGGUUAUAAACCGCUGUCGCCUGUGACGAAGCGUGAGUGACGGUAAUGGGUAAAGAAGCACCGGCUAACUACGUG
rnacentral:rRNA from 1 species